GAUGAACGCUGGCGGCGUGCCUAAUACAUGCAAGUCGAGCGAACGGACGAGAAGCUUGCUUCUCUGAUGUUAGCGGCGGACGGGUGAGUAACACGUGGAUAACCUACCUAUAAGACUGGGAUAACUUCGGGAAACCGGAGCUAAUACCGGAUAAUAUUUUGAACCGCAUGGUUCAAAAGUGAAAGACGGUCUUGCUGUCACUUAUAGAUGGAUCCGCGCUGCAUUAGCUAGUUGGUAAGGUAACGGCUUACCAAGGCAACGAUGCAUAGCCGACCUGAGAGGGUGAUCGGCCACACUGGAGCGGAGACACGGUCCAGACUCCUACGGGAGGCAGCAGUAGGGAAUCUUCCGCAAUGGGCGAAAGCCUGACGGAGCAACGCCGCGUGAGUGAUGAAGGUCUUCGGAUCGUAAAACUCUGUUAUUAGGGAAGAACAUAUGUGUAAGUAACUGUGCACAUCUUGACGGUACCUAAUCAGAAAGCCCCGGCUAACUACGUG
rnacentral:rRNA from 1 species